rnacentral:misc_RNA from 1 species
GAUGAAGAACGCAGCGAAAUGCGAUAAGUAGUGUGAAUUGCAGAAUUCAGAGAAUCAUCGAAUCUUUGAACGCACAUUGCGCCCCUUGGUAUCCCGAGGGGCAUGCCUGUUCGAGCGUCAUUUCACCACUCAAGCCUGGCUUGGUGUUGGGCGACGUCCCCUUUGGGGACGCGCCUCGAAACGCUCGGCGGCGUGGCACCGGCUUUAAGCGUAGCAGAAUCUUUCGCUUUGGAAGUCGGGGCCCCGUCUGCCGGAAGACCUACUCGCAAGGUUGACCUCGGAUCAGGCAGGGAUACCCGCUGAACUUAAGCAUAUCAAUAAGCGGAGGA